UUUUUUAUGUGGUGUGGCCCACAAUCCAAUUUGAGUUGGAAAAAUACUUCGAAGGAAGUAGGCGGCGAGCAUUUUCUUAUAAAUAGUAUUAUUAUUUAUCAUGUUUAUAUUUGAUAUUACAUUUAAGAAAUAGCUAUACGUAUUAGCUUGCGAGUAUGUGGAUAAACUGCUCACAAAAUGCGCAAAUAAACUAGCCCGUCCCUGAGAAUGAGGCGUUCCUCUUCGACUUUUCUCGAUCAAUCACGCGGACAGUGGCUCCUUUUGAUUAAACCCCAAAUUGUCAUUGGACAGAGGUAAUCAUGUGACAAGCAAUACGGUCCAAUUUCAACCUUGUCUCCAUGAAAGCAGUUUAAUGGUAUCGCGGUCCCCAUACGGCCGUAAUCAGCAAAAUAGUGAUUUUUUUUUACACCGGGCACAAUAUUUCAUUAUUUCUUCUAAGGUCCCAAAUCUGUGCGCGGGGAAUUCCUUUAAGACUCGGAGGAGAUGAAUUACGAAUUCGAGCGAGAGACGGGGUUUAUCAAUAGUCAGCCGUCGCUCGCUGAGUGCCUGACAUCUUUUCCCCCUGUCGCUGAUGCAUUUCAAAGUUCAUCAAUCAAGAGCUCGACGCUUUCACGCUCGACACUGAUUCCUCCUCCUUUCGAGCAGACCAUUCCCAGGCUGAACCCGGGCAGCCAUCCUCGCCAGAGCCGCCCAAAGCAGAACCCGAACGGCGUGUGCCCUCUGCCCGCCGCCUCGUUACCCCCGGAGUACCCGUGGAUGAAGGAGAAAAAAGCUUCAAAGAAAAACCAGACCUCAGCUGCAGCCACAACCGACCCUGCACCACUCUACUUCUCUCCGGAAGGUUCGCCGGAGGUUUCUGAUGGUGGCGGAGGUGGCGGUGGCACACGCAGACUGAGAACGGCCUACACCAACACACAGCUGCUGGAGCUCGAGAAAGAGUUCCACUUCAACAAGUACCUGUGCCGACCACGGAGGGUCGAGAUCGCCGCGUUGCUGGACCUCACGGAGAGGCAAGUAAAAGUUUGGUUUCAGAACCGGCGCAUGAAGCAUAAGCGCCAGACGCAGUGCAAGGAGAACCAGAACGGCGAGACGAGAGCUACGAGCCUGGAGGAAAACACAGCCCAUGGCAAGGUUUUUUAUGAACAAUCGCAAACGAACGCCGUUUCCGGGGCUCUCUUGGAGAACGAGAGUUACGCGUUCCAGCAGAACACUACGCAAAAUGGACACAAUGGAGACUCUCCAAGCUCUACUAUUUCACCCCUGAACAGCAAUGACAAAAAUCUGAAACAUUUUCCCAACUCGUCACCCACUGUUCCCGUGUGCGCCCCUACAAUGGCUAUGGACGGCGCAGCUGCUAGGGACAAUAGCACUUCCCCAGGCCUGGACGGCCCCAUGCACGACUUUCACGUUUUCUCCACAGAUUCCUGCCUGCAUCUUUCAGAUGCCAUCUCUCCGAGUGUGUCUGAGACGGUGGACAGCCCCAUGGGUUUAGGCACGGACUCAUUUGAUUUCUUCUCGGAGACGCUGACGACGAUCGACUUACAACAUUUGAAUUACUAACAAUUUUUGAACACAAGGGAGCCCCGUUAUCUUUCUCUACGUUGACGGAUGUCUGUGCAUCAUUCCCAUGCAGGGAUUUGCUUCCCAAAGGCAUCACAGAAAACAACCUUCCUUAAAUGGAAGAGUGUGUCUCAUUUUGCACCUUCUAUCAACUAAAGAGAAAGGCUUCUGGAUAGCACAUAUUGGAUGGGGCUUUUACUGUAUCUCAGGUUAAUUUGUUGAAGUAUAAAGACAAUCAAAAUAAGCAGUAUGAGUUACAUAUGAAUCACAGCCAUGGUAAGUAAUUGUAAGAGUAUUAGCUGGAUGUAUUUACACCUUAACCACAGUGGUACAGUAGGUAUUGUUAUUGCCUUACAGCUUCAGGAUCCUUGGUCUGAUCCUUGGCUUAUAGUCUGAGCAGAGUUUUGCAUAUUCUUUGUUCACAUGGAUUUCCUCUCAGUUCUUCUGUUUCCUCCCAAUGUCCACAAAGGCAGCUGGGUAGAUAACUACGCUAAUUUUUCCCUAGAUUUAAAUGAGUGUAUGGUAUGUGUUCAUGGUGGCAAUGAGAGGCCGGCAUCCUAUCUAGUGUGAUGUCUAUUUUGCACACAGUGUUUCUGGGAAAGGCUUUGGAUCUAACACUUCCCCUGCAAUGAUAAAGCAGUUUUUGAACAUAAAUGAACGUUUAGACCUCCUUACCUAAGUCAUACAUUAUGCAAAGUUAAAAAUAAACAUCCUUUAUGGAACAUAGAAUACAAAUAUAUCAGCUGCUUAAGUGUUGCAUUCUUUGGGUUAACACUAACAUUGUGGACAAACUGCAUAUUAUAAUGUUAUUGUUUUGAUGUUUUGGUUGUAGUUAAUGUUUUCCUGUAUAUAAGAAAGAAUUUCAUCCAACAGCUGGAUGGAAGUUGCUCACAGCUGCAUACCCCACAGGUCUGAUCCAAGUUCAUAAGCAUUCUCUGAAGAGGUGUUGUAAGCAAAACCAGACAGGGGGGGGGGGUAGCUCAAAGCAACUGCAUGCACAUUUCUCUUACUACAGAAGCAAGGAAAGGGAUGUCUUAGCUUGAAUGCUUUAAUAAUAAAUAUAAUUUCCAUCAAAGGUGACCUUUUGUCUUCACAUUGUUUUUUUUCCAAGAUGUUAGCAUGAAAAGAAAGAGUUGAGGUUUCCAUGUAAGCUAAUUCUGAGCUAUUUAAAAACAACACCUGAGCAGCUUAAUCCUUUGAAGGCCAAAGGGUUAAUGUGCCUACCCAUCCACCUCUGGGGUUUUCACUUUACACAUUUAACUGUACCCUCCAGACAUGCUGAAUUACAGUGUUAAGUGCAGAUUGUCACCUGUUUAACCUCCAGGCUUCAGAGGCUGCUUAGAUGUUUGGAUAGUGAAAUGCAGCAUACUGUAAUUCAUCUUAGUGACCUCAUCUUUCUCUAGGUCACUAAGCCUUUAACCAAAGGCUUAAAAUCUGCAAUUAUCCUGACAUUGUUGUGAUAUUUUGAAUGCAUCAAUCUAAAGACUCAGAUGGCCAUAAUAAAACACCAAAUUUGUGUUCCUAUAAUCAUUUCCUGUAUUCAUAAAAACCUUUAAUAACUAUAGCUAGAUUUUAACUUCCAGGCAGGAGCAACCAGGUAUUAGACUUAAAUAUCAUCAUACAUUGCAAAGUUCAUGAUAAUCAAUCUUUCAAUAAGCCCCUGAACCACAAGUCACACAGCAGAUCCUACACAUCAAUGAUCCACCACACAUUUCACUGUAGGUUUGGGGGCAUUUUGUUGUAUGUGGCCAUCAUUUUCCUCUCUUUCCAUGCUGAUGGUGUGCCUCACCGUAAUGUUGAUUUAUAUGUCCUCUGAUCACGACACAAUUAAAAUUAAAAAAUUAAAUUGAGCUUAUUGAAUUCUGUGGUUCCUUUCAUGCUAGCAGUUUCAACAUUAUACCUUGACACUGAAAAAAACAAAAAAAAAGUAAAUAAAGUGUGCAAUCUUAAACUCUUCUUCCUUUCUCGCCUUAGUCCAGUAAGCUCAGUCCAGUUUCUGUAAAGUGUCUAAGUAUUCUAAACUAAAGCUAUGUAUCAUAGCCCAGGUCAUUAAUUUUUUUUUAUAUUUGAUAUAAUAUUUAUUAAUAUCCAUAUUCUUGUCAAUG